ensembl:snoRNA small nucleolar RNA SNORA2/SNORA34 family
CCAGCCCUGAAUCAAGGCCUUCAGCUUCCUAAUGCUGCUGUUUUCAAGCAGGAGCCUAAAGAGAUGUCUUUCUAUGGUCUGAUGGGCAUUUCAGAACUUGGGCAGUGAAAUGAUCAAUUCACUAUAGAAAGAAACAGCU